AUGCAUCGCGGGGAUUUGAGGCAGAAGCUGGAGCUCACCCGGAAAAGGGGGCCUGAGGGGCUCCGUCGGGAGAUCCGGAUCUCCCGACAUCAUUUUUGCACCGACCGGGACACGGCGGUGCCAGUCCCCCUUCCCCCAUUCGCUGCCCAGCCAACCGGCCAGGCGGGGCGGGGCUGCCCGCUGGCGACCGCUCCCCCGGGGUUACUGAGUCCCUGCUCGCGUGAGAAGCUCAGCGACCCUGUGCCCGAGGUCACGGCCGCCGGAAGGCCAGAGGCGCCGCUGAGCUGGCCCCGUCCCCCAGGGCGCGACGACCCGGCGAAGCUCGCGCUCACGGACCGAGGGUCGCGCGGGCUCUCCGGGCGCCGCCUCCGGGGUCAGGCGCGUGGCAACCCAGGGCCACCUCCCGCCGGACCCUGGCCCUCGAGGUUGCCCCUGGGCUCCAGGAAGGAGGCCAGGGGGUCGCUAGUACUUUGCGGGGGCUACAGAGCGCAAGGGCUAGAGGGGGCCCCCCGGGACCGGCCAGGGUGCGAGGGGGGAAUGCGAAGGGGCGCGGAGGCACCCCCGCCCGCGUCGGAGCACCUGCAGGCUUGCAGAGGCCAGAGGUCGCGCGGCCCCUCCCCGCGCCACCUGGCCGGGGGCGCGGCGCCCAGGAGUUGCGUGAGAAGGGCUUGGAGGCCCGCGCAGCCAACUCGCCGCCCGGGUCCUUGGCUGGGCACGGGUCCCGGCGCAGUCACGCGAAGUGGGGGGAGGGGGCCAGGGGCGCGGCUCUUAAAGGGCCAGGGCCUCGCCCGAGCGUCGCAGGCGCGCGAUUGGAGAGGGGGCGAGGCGGGCAAAGGGCCCGGGCUUGCGUGCGGAGCUCGCCUCAGCCUGCGCGUCCAGUCCGCGCUGUGGGUCUACGCCAAAGGCUGCCUCGUCCGACGCCGCGCUGUCCGUGCGAGGCCGAACCCUCCCGACCUGGGGUGUCUGGGGACAAAAGCCGUGUUUGCGUGUCUGGCUCAACCUGUCUCCAGCUCACUCAUCACUCCGCCGGCCCCAGCCCCGCGAACGGCGUCGGCGGCGUGGUCCGCACUGGCCCAGGCCAGAACCCGGCCUCGCCUGCUCCUCACCCACCUCUCCUUUGUGCAAAAUAAGUAG
rnacentral:lncRNA from 1 species